rnacentral:rRNA from 1 species
GACGAACGCUGGCGGCGUGCCUAAUACAUGCAAGUAGAACGCACAGUUUAUACCGUAGCUUGCUACACCAUAGACUGUGAGUUGCGAACGGGUGAGUAACGCGUAGGUAACCUGCCUGGUAGCGGGGGAUAACUAUUGGAAACGAUAGCUAAUACCGCAUAAUAUUGAUUAUUGCAUGAUAAUUAAUUGAAAGGUGCAAUUGCACCACUACCAGAUGGACCUGCGUUGUAUUAGCUAGUAGGAGAGGUAACGGCUCACCUAGGCGACGAUACAUAGCCGACCUGAGAGGGUGAUCGGCCACACUGGGACUGAGACACGGCCCAGACUCCUACGGGAGGCAGCAGUAGGGAAUCUUCGGCAAUGGACGAAAGUCUGACCGAGCAACGCCGCGUGAGUGAAGAAGGGUUUCGGAUCGUAAAGCUCUGUUGUAAGAGAAGAACGGGUGUGAGAGUGGAAAGUUCACACUGUGACGGUAUCUUACCAGAAAGGGACGGCUAACUACGUG